UACGUAGGGUGCAAGCGUUUAAUCGGAAUUACUGGGCGUAAAGCGUGCGCAGGCGGUUUUGUAAGUCUGUCGUGAAAUCCCCCGGGCUCAACCUGGGAAUUGCGAUGGAGACUGCAAGGCUAGAAUCUGGCAGAGGGGGGUAGAAUUCCACGUGUAGCAGUGAAAUGCGUAGAGAUGUGGAGGAACACCGAUGGCGAAGGCAGCCCCCUGGGUCAAGAUUGACGCUCAUGCACGAAAGCGUGGGGAGCAAACAGGAUUA
rnacentral:rRNA from 1 species